AUGACGCCGCCGGCGGCGGCCUCGCCGGGGCGUAAGUCUCCGGCCGCGGUCCUCUUCCUCUGCGUGGUCACUAUCUCAUUACUCAUGUUCAUACUCCUUGCCUCCUACACCCCCCGCCUCCAGCCCCACGGUCGCAGCCCCCACCGCCGCCUCAAGCUCCACCCCAAGAACUCCGCCGCCGUCGCUUCUUCCUACGGGGCCGGCGCCGUCCACGAUUCCGGAGGAAACCGCCACGCGGCGCCCUUCGACCCGGCCAUCGCCGAGCUGGAGCGGCGGCUGGAGGACAAGGAGUGGGAGCGCGAGCACUACCGCAUCCUCCAUGGCGACGCCGAGAAGGACUUCAUCAACGACGACGAUCGCUUCAACGUGUCCGACCGCAUCCGCGCGCUGUUCCCCAAGAUCGACCUCACCCCCAAGGACGGCUUCGUCUCCCUCGAUGAGCUCAUCAGGUGGAACCUCGAUCAGGCCAGGGCCGACCAGCUCCACCGCUCCGCCAGGGAGAUGGAGCUCUACGACAAGAACGGCAACGGGAUCGUCUCCUUCACUACUUUCCGGGCGCUGCGCCAACAGUCCCAUGGGGAUGGCAACUCACUGGGGUUCCCGUGGUGGAAAGAGGAGCACUUCAAUGCUUCGGACGUCAACGGGGAUGGUUUCCUCAAUAAAACUGAGUUUCACGACUUUCUUAAUCCAAGUGAUUCGGAGAAUCCUAAAAUUGUCAACUUGCUCUGCAGACAAGAAUUAAGGCAGAGAGAUAAAGAUGGUGAUGGAAAGUUAAACUUUGAAGAAUACUUUCAUGGGCUACAUGACCAUAUACAUGGUUAUGAUGAUGAGAAUGCAGCUAUUUCUCAUAUUGGGAACAUGACAAUUGCAAAGGAGCGGUUUUCCAAGCUUGACAAAGAUAAUGACGGGUUCAUUUCAGAGCAUGAACUAGAACCUGUUCUUGAUAAGCUCCAUCUGUCAGAACGCUAUUAUGCCAGACAGCAAGCCACACAUGCUAUUUCAGAGGCAGACAAAGAUCAUGAUGGAAGACUAACACUGGAAGAGAUGAUCGAGAACCCCUAUGCAUUUUAUGGUAGUGUUUACUUCAGCGAUGACGAGGACUACUUCCAUGAAGAGUUCCGUUAA
rnacentral:rRNA from 1 species